rnacentral:lncRNA from 1 species
GCUUAGAUCAGAAGUUCCAACGGUGCGAGAUCAGGGCUGGAAACAAACUGUGUUUCAGGUCUUUGUAUGAUAGGUGCCCGGUAAGCUGAAGAGUCCAGGGCAAACUGACUUCUAUCUCACGUUGCAAAAGAGCUGGAAGCAAGACAGUCUGUGGCCUGUCUCCUCUCUAGGAAGCCAGGCAGGGCUUUGUGACUUCCACCUCUAGGUCAACGUAUUACAAGGCAGAGCAGAAGUUCUAACUCAGCCAGAUCAGGGCUGGAAGUAUCUGCGUUUCACAGGCCUGUGUUAGAGAUGUUCACGGUAGGCUGUAAGAGCAAUGUGGAGAGCGAGUUGUUUCUUAGCUUGCCAAAGAGCUGGAAGCAAGAACGUUGUGGCUUGUCUCCAUUGGAGGCACUGACUCAGUGCUUAGUGACUUCCACCUCUAGAGCAAUGUAGGACAUGGCUUAGAGCAGAAGUUCCAAGGCGUCGAGAUCAGGGCUGGAACAAACUGAUUUUCAGGACUUUGUAUGAGAG